GUGUCAGCCGCCGCGGUAAGACAGAGGUGGCAAGCGUUGCUCGGAGUUACUGGGCUUAAAGGGCGCGUAGGCGGUCGUGCACGUCGGAGGUGAAAUCCCCGGGCUCAACCCGGGAACUGCCUUCGAUACGGCGCGACUCGAGUGCUGGAGGGGAGAGUGGAACUCCUGGUGGAGCGGUGAAAUGCGUAGAUAUCAGGAGGAACGCCGGUGGCGAAAGCGACUCUCUGGACAGCAACUGACGCUGAGGCGCGAAAGCCAGGGGAGCAAACGGGAUUAGAUACCCCCGUAGUCC
rnacentral:rRNA from 1 species